GGGUUGUGAGGUUAAGCGACUAAGCGUACACGGUGGAUGCCCUGGCAGUCAGAGGCGAUGAAGGACGUGCUAAUCUGCGAUAAGCGUCGGUAAGGUGAUAUGAACCGUUAUAACCGGCGAUUUCCGAAUGGGGAAACCCAGUGUGAUUCGUCACACUAUCAUUAACUGAAUCCAUAGGUUAAUGAGGCGAACCGGGGGAACUGAAACAUCUAAGUACCCCGAGGAAAAGAAAUCAACCGAGAUUCCCCCAGUAGCGGCGAGCGAACGGGGAGGAGCCCAGAGCCUGAAUCAGUGUGUGUGUUAGUGGAAGCGUCUGGAAAGGCGCGCGAUACAGGGUGACAGCCCCGUACACAAAAAUGCACAUGCUGUGAGCUCGAUGAGUAGGGCGGGACACGUGGUAUCCUGUCUGAAUAUGGGGGGACCAUCCUCCAAGGCUAAAUACUCCUGACUGACCGAUAGUGAACCAGUACCGUGAGGGAAAGGCGAAAAGAACCCCGGCGAGGGGAGUGAAAAAGAACCUGAAACCGUGUACGUACAAGCAGUGGGAGCACAGAGCAAUCUGUGUGACUGCGUACCUUUUGUAUAAUGGGUCAGCGACUUAUAUUCUGUAGCAAGGUUAACCGAAUAGGGGAGCCGAAGGGAAACCGAGUCUUAACCGGGCGUUAAGUUGCAGGGUAUAGACCCGAAACCCGGUGAUCUAGCCAUGGGCAGGUUGAAGGUUGGGUAACACUAACUGGAGGACCGAACCGACUAAUGUUGAAAAAUUAGCGGAUGACUUGUGGCUGGGGGUGAAAGGCCAAUCAAACCGGGAGAUAGCUGGUUCUCCCCGAAAGCUAUUUAGGUAGCGCCUCGUGAAUUCAUCUCCGGGGGUAGAGCACUGUUUCGGCAAGGGGGUCAUCCCGACUUACCAACCCGAUGCAAACUGCGAAUACCGGAGAAUGUUAUCACGGGAGACACACGGCGGGUGCUAACGUCCGUCGUGAAGAGGGAAACAACCCAGACCGCCAGCUAAGGUCCCAAAGUCAUGGUUAAGUGGGAAACGAUGUGGGAAGGCCCAGACAGCCAGGAUGUUGGCUUAGAAGCAGCCAUCAUUUAAAGAAAGCGUAAUAGCUCACUGGUCGAGUCGGCCUGCGCGGAAGAUGUAACGGGGCUAAACCAUGCACCGAAGCUGCGGCAGCGACACUGUGUGUUGUUGGGUAGGGGAGCGUUCUGUAAGCCUGUGAAGGUGUGCUGUGAGGCAUGCUGGAGGUAUCAGAAGUGCGAAUGCUGACAUAAGUAACGAUAAAGCGGGUGAAAAGCCCGCUCGCCGGAAGACCAAGGGUUCCUGUCCAACGUUAAUCGGGGCAGGGUGAGUCGACCCCUAAGGCGAGGCCGAAAGGCGUAGUCGAUGGGAAACAGGUUAAUAUUCCUGUACUUGGUGUUACUGCGAAGGGGGGACGGAGAAGGCUAUGUUGGCCGGGCGACGGUUGUCCCGGUUUAAGCGUGUAGGCUGGUUUUCCAGGCAAAUCCGGAAAAUCAAGGCUGAGGCGUGAUGACGAGGCACUACGGUGCUGAAGCAACAAAUGCCCUGCUUCCAGGAAAAGCCUCUAAGCAUCAGGUAACAUCAAAUCGUACCCCAAACCGACACAGGUGGUCAGGUAGAGAAUACCAAGGCGCUUGAGAGAACUCGGGUGAAGGAACUAGGCAAAAUGGUGCCGUAACUUCGGGAGAAGGCACGCUGAUAUGUAGGUGAAGUCCCUCGCGGAUGGAGCUGAAAUCAGUCGAAGAUACCAGCUGGCUGCAACUGUUUAUUAAAAACACAGCACUGUGCAAACACGAAAGUGGACGUAUACGGUGUGACGCCUGCCCGGUGCCGGAAGGUUAAUUGAUGGGGUCAGCGCAAGCGAAGCUCUUGAUCGAAGCCCCGGUAAACGGCGGCCGUAACUAUAACGGUCCUAAGGUAGCGAAAUUCCUUGUCGGGUAAGUUCCGACCUGCACGAAUGGCGUAAUGAUGGCCAGGCUGUCUCCACCCGAGACUCAGUGAAAUUGAACUCGCUGUGAAGAUGCAGUGUACCCGCGGCAAGACGGAAAGACCCCGUGAACCUUUACUAUAGCUUGACACUGAACAUUGAGCCUUGAUGUGUAGGAUAGGUGGGAGGCUUUGAAGUGUGGACGCCAGUCUGCAUGGAGCUGACCUUGAAAUACCACCCUUUAAUGUUUGAUGUUCUAACGUGGACCCGUGAUCCGGGUUGCGGACAGUGUCUGGUGGGUAGUUUGACUGGGGCGGUCUCCUCCUAAAGAGUAACGGAGGAGCACGAAGGUUGGCUAAUCCUGGUCGGACAUCAGGAGGUUAGUGCAAUGGCAUAAGCCAGCUUGACUGCGAGCGUGACGGCGCGAGCAGGUGCGAAAGCAGGUCAUAGUGAUCCGGUGGUUCUGAAUGGAAGGGCCAUCGCUCAACGGAUAAAAGGUACUCCGGGGAUAACAGGCUGAUACCGCCCAAGAGUUCAUAUCGACGGCGGUGUUUGGCACCUCGAUGUCGGCUCAUCACAUCCUGGGGCUGAAGUAGGUCCCAAGGGUAUGGCUGUUCGCCAUUUAAAGUGGUACGCGAGCUGGGUUUAGAACGUCGUGAGACAGUUCGGUCCCUAUCUGCCGUGGGCGCUGGAGAACUGAGGGGGGCUGCUCCUAGUACGAGAGGACCGGAGUGGACGCAUCACUGGUGUUCGGGUUGUCAUGCCAAUGGCACUGCCCGGUAGCUAAAUGCGGAAGAGAUAAGUGCUGAAAGCAUCUAAGCACGAAACUUGCCCCGAGAUGAGUUCUCCCUGACCCUUUAAGGGUCCUGAAGGAACGUUGAAGACGACGACGUUGAUAGGCCGGGUGUGUAAGCGCAGCGAUGCGUUGAGCUAACCGGUACUAAUGAACCGUGAGGCUUAACCUUACAACGCCGAAGGUGUUU
rnacentral:rRNA from 1 species